UGGGUUGCUUCCUGGGGGAUGCUGUAUUGCCAGAGAACCCUUCACCAGCUGGAUAGAAACAAGCCUUGCAGUAUGACUGAGAAACUGAAGCAGAAGCAAGAACAUGCUACCACAUCCCUGUUUUAACAGUGUGGAAAGCAAGAUGCUGUUUGUGCUACUUAGAAUUAGGGUUGUGUAUCAAGAGAAGGUUCUUCUCUUGUGAAACCCGGUCUAGCUGUUCAUCCACUUGUAUCAGGAGGUUCUGUAAAAGGAUGGUUGCCAUUGCUUCGUUGUUGGAUGCAGCCUCCCUUGAGAACAGAUGAACGAGAAACAUUUUUAAAAUGUCGUAAGUGCCAAACUGUCUGUACAGAAAUUUACAAUCCAUUGAGAAAUAAAGGCAGUAAGAAGCUCGA